rnacentral:rRNA from 1 species
UACGUAGGGUGCGAGCGUUGUCCGGAUUUAUUGGGCGUAAAGAGCUCGUAGGCGGUUUGUCGCGUCGGCCGUGAAAUCUCCACGCUUAACGUGGAGCGUGCGGUCGAUACGGGCAGACUUGAGUUCGGUAGGGGAGACUGGAAUUCCUGGUGUAGCGGUGAAAUGCGCAGAUAUCAGGAGGAACACCGGUGGCGAAGGCGGGUCUCUGGGCCGAUACUGACGCUGAGAGCGA